rnacentral:rRNA from 1 species
UACGUAGGUGACCAGCGUUGUCCGGAUUUACUGGGCGUAAAGAGCGCGCAGGCGGUCGUUCAAGUCGAGUGUGAAAGCCCCCGGCUCAACUGGGGAGGGUCACUUGAUACUGAUCGACUCGAAGGCAGGAGAGGGAAGCGGAAUUCCCGGUGUAGUGGUGAAAUGCGUAGAUAUCGGGAGGAACACCAGUGGCGAAGGCAGCUCGCUGGGACGUGACUGACGCUGAGGAGCGAAAGCGUGGGGAGCGAGCAGG